CCUACGGGAGGCAGCAGUGAGGAAUAUUGGUCAAUGGGCGAGAGCCUGAACCAGCCAAGUCGCGUGAAGGAUGACGGCCCUACGGGUUGUAAACUUCUUUUGUCAGGGAGCAAUUGGGUCCACGUGUGGGCUUAGCGAGAGUACCUGAAGAAAAAGCAUCGGCUAACUCCGUGCCAGCAGCCGCGGUAAUACGGAGGAUGCGAGCGUUAUCCGGAUUUAUUGGGUUUAAAGGGUGCGUAGGCGGUCCGUUAAGUCAGCGGUAAAAUUGCGGGGCUCAACCCCGUCGAGCCGUUGAAACUGGCAGACUUGAGUUGGCGAGAAGUACGCGGAAUGCGCGGUGUAGCGGUGAAAUGCAUAGAUAUCGCGCAGAACUCCGAUUGCGAAGGCAGCGUACCGGCGCCAGACUGACGCUGAGGCACGAAAGCGUGGGGAUCGAACAGGAUUAGAUACCCCUGUAGUC
rnacentral:rRNA from 1 species